GGUGGCUCAGUGGCAGAGUCCUUGCCUUGCAUGCAUGAGGCCCUGGGUUCGAUUCCUCAGCACCA
rnacentral:tRNA from 1 species